UACGUAGGGUCCGAGCGUUGUCCGGAAUUAUUGGGCGUAAAGAGCUCGUAGGCGGUUUGGCGCGUCUGCUGUGAAAUCCCGAGGCUCAACCUCGGGCCUGCAGUGGGUACGGGCAGACUUGAGUGGUGUAGGGGAGACUGGAAUUCCUGGUGUAGCGGUGGAAUGCGCAGAUAUCAGGAGGAACACCGAUGGCGAAGGCAGGUCUCUGGGCACUUACUGACGCUGAGGAGCGAAAGCGUGGGGAGCGAACAGG
rnacentral:rRNA from 1 species